rnacentral:rRNA from 1 species
AGCGAACGCUGGCGGCGUGCCUAACACAUGCAAGUCGAGCGAGAAAGGGAGCUUCGGUUCCUGAGUAGAGCGGCGAACGGGUGCGUAACGCGUGGGUCAUUUAUCCCCAAGACGGGAAUAACUCAGCGAAAGCUGGGCUAAUACCCGAUAAGACCACGGAAAGAAAUUUCUGCGGUCAAAGGAUGCUUCUUUAGGAAGCAUCCGCUAGAGGAGGAGCCCGCGACCUAUCAGCUUGUUGGUAGGGUAACGGCCUACCAAGGCAAAGACGGGUAGCUGGUCUGAGAGGAUGACCAGCCACACGGGGACUGAGACACGGCCCCGACUCCUACGGGAGGCAGCAGUGGGGAAUAUUGGGCAAUGGGGGAAACCCUGACCCAGCGACGCCGCGUGGGUGAUGAAGGCCUUCGGGUCGUAAAGCCUUGUCAGGAGGAACGAAUGCUUCCGGGGCAAAUAGUCUCGGAAGGUGACGGUACCUCUGAAGGAAGCACCGGCCAACUCCGUGCCAGCCGCCGCAGUAAAAC